rnacentral:rRNA from 1 species
UACGUAGGGGGCGAGCGUUGUCCGAAGUUACUGGGCGUAAAGAGUACGUAGGUGGCUUGUUAAGAUACAUCUGAAAGGUGACAGCUCAACUGUCAAUGGUGGUGUAAGACUGGCAGGCUUGAGGCAAGCAGAAGAGUGUGGAACUCCGAGUGUAGCGGUGGAAUGCGUAGAGAUUCGGAAGAACACCCAUGGCGAAGGCAGUACUCUGGGCUUGAACCGCAAGGUGAACCUGACACUGAGGUACGAAAGCCAGGGGAGCGAACGGG